rnacentral:rRNA from 1 species
GACGAACGCUGGCGGCGCGCUUAACACAUGCAAGUCGAGCGAGAACCAGGGCUUCGGCCCUGGGGACAGCGGCGAACGGGUGAGUAACACGUGGGUCAUCUGCCCUCGGCACCGGAAUAGCCCGGGGAAACCCGGAUUAAUGCCGGAUGGCCCGGCUGCUCUACGGGGCGGUCGGAAAAGGUAGCUUCGGCCUCCGGCCGAGGAUGAGCCCGCGGCGGAUUAGCUAGUUGGUGGGGUAACGGCCCACCGAGGCGACGAUCCGUAGCUGGUCUGAGAGGACGAUCAGCCACACGGGGACUGAGACACGGCCCAGACUCCUACGGGAGGCAGCAGUGGGGAAUCUUGCGCAAUGGGCGAAAGCCUGACGCAGCGACGCCGCGUGAGGGAAGAAGGCUUUCGGGUUGUAAACCUCUUUCAGGAGGGACGAAGCCACUCGGGUGAAUAGCCCAGAGGGUGACGGUACCUCCAGAAGAAGCCCCGGCUAACUACGUGCCAGCCGCCGCGGUAACAC